rnacentral:lncRNA from 1 species
GGGUUUCUGCCCAGCUCACCCGCUGUCAGCUGGGGUCCUGCUCUGGUGGGAGGAAGAGGCUCAGACGCUUCCCUGCCCUCUCGCCUCAACCACCUCGAGGCAGCGGCUCCCAGGAUGUGCACUUUGACGACUAAAGCUGAGCCGGCGCCGCCACGACCUUGGGCGGGUGGUCGGCCUCUGCCCUGAGCAGGAAGUAGAAAGUCUCAGCAGACCCUUCCUGAGGGCCGAGCAACAGUGUAGUGGCGUAUUCCACAUAGCAAACAGAUGUACACUAGAUUUUGAUGGCAUUUUUCCAGGGACCCUGGGAGCAUCUGUGUUCUCGUGUUCUUCUUGCCUGUGAGGCCUCUUCUCUCUGAGGACAGAUGGUAGGACAGAGAGAAGACAGCAAAUGGAAAACAAAGGCUGCUAUUUUUUUGUGGGGCAGCAUUUCUUCCUGUGACAAUAUGGUGUAAGACAAAAUUGUGGCCUGCCAUGAAGUUGUGAGAGAAAAGCAUCCCUCAUUUCUUCAGGAAAGGCCACUGCCGUUCCCUCCGGCUCCUCUUCUCAGGAGUUUGUGCAUUCAUGAGGUGAAUUCCUUGGAAGAUGAGGGCCAAGUCUUAUUCUUCUCAGUCUCUUCUGCAUCUAGCAGAAGAAUAAUGGUUGCACAGAAAAUCUUGGUUCAGUGGUUGAGUGAAUGAAUGGAUGAACAGGCUCUUGCACACAAAGAAGAGACAUGAUGUAUUUGCAUCCUUCCCUGCUUCAGCCAGGUCCCCAGACAGUCCCGGUGUGCACACUUCCCUGCUUCUGUUCAUGAUGUUCUCUGAACCUGGGAUCACCUUUCCCCUUCCUCUUACCUGCCCGAUCCUACUUGUCCUCCCAGAUUCAGUUUUCUGAAGCUCAGAGGGACACCUUGU